GACGAACGCUGGCGGCGUGCUUAACACAUGCAAGUCGAACGGAAAGGCCCUGCUUUUGUGGGGUGCUCGAGUGGCGAACGGGUGAGUAACACGUGAGUAACCUGCCCUUGACUUUGGGAUAACUUCAGGAAACUGGGGCUAAUACCGGAUAGGAGCUCCUGCUGCAUGGUGGGGGUUGGAAAGUUUCGGCGGUUGGGGAUGGACUCGCGGCUUAUCAGCUUGUUGGUGGGGUAGUGGCUUACCAAGGCUUUGACGGGUAGCCGGCCUGAGAGGGUGACCGGCCACAUUGGGACUGAGAUACGGCCCAGACUCCUACGGGAGGCAGCAGUGGGGAAUAUUGCACAAUGGGCGGAAGCCUGAUGAAGCAACGCCGCGUGCGGGAUGACGGCCUUCGGGUUGUAAACCGCUGUCGCCUGUGACGAAGCGUGAGUGACGGUAAUGGGUAAAGAAGCACCGGCUAACUACGUG
rnacentral:rRNA from 1 species